GAUAACUUGUGGACAUGAGACUGAAAGAACUCAUACAGUGUGUGUUGGCCGUAGUAGCUUCUUCUCUCGUAUUUUAUGAGGAACGGAGCUUGAUAACAGCACUACAUUU